AGUGAACGCUGGCGGUAGGCCUAACACAUGCAAGUCGAACGGCAGCACAGGAGAGCUUGCUCUCUGGGUGGCGAGUGGCGGACGGGUGAGGAAUACAUCGGAAUCUACCUUUUCGUGGGGGAUAACGUAGGGAAACUUACGCUAAUACCGCAUACGACCUACGGGUGAAAGUGGGGGACCGCAAGGCCUCACGCGAUUAGAUGAGCCGAUGUCCGAGUUAGCUAGUUGGCGGGGUAAUGGCCCACCAAGGCGACGAUCGGUAGCUGGUCUGAGAGGAUGAUCAGGCACGCUGGACCUGCGACACGGGCCAGACUCCUACGGGCGGCAGCAGUGGGGAAUAUUGGACAAUGGGCGCAAGCCUGAUCCAGCCAUACCGCGUGGGUGAAGAAGGCCUUCGGGUUGUAAAGCCCUUUUGUUGGGAAAGAAAUCCUGUCGAUUAAUACUCGGUGGGGAUGACGGUACCCAAAGAAUAAGCACCGGCUAACUUCGUGCCAGCCGCCGCCGUAAUAC
rnacentral:rRNA from 1 species